rnacentral:rRNA from 1 species
AGGAUGAACGCUGGCGGCGUGCCUAACACAUGCAAGUCGAACGUCCUGUCUCGCAAGAGGCAGGGAGUGGCGGACGGGUGAGUACCACGUGGGUCAUCUACCGUGAGGUGAGGAAUACCGGCGAGAAAUCGCCGACAAGACCGCAUAGGCUCGAUGCAAGUCGAGCAAAGCUCUUUCGAGAGAGGGAGCGCCACACGAGGAGCCUGCGCCCGAUUAGCUAGCUGGUGGAGUAACGGUUCACCAGGGCGACGAUCGGUAGCUGGUCUGAGAGGACGAUCAGCCACACUGGGAUUGAGAACGGCCCAGACUCCUACGGGGGGCAGCAGUGAGGAAUUUUCGUCAAUGGGGGCAACCCUGAACGAGCAACGCCGCGUGCAGGAAGAGGUUUCGGAUCGUAAACUGCUUUUCUCGGGGAAGAGAACGGACGGUACCCGAGGAAUCGAGCCCCGGCUAACUACGUGCCAGCAGCCGCGGU